rnacentral:lncRNA from 1 species
AAUGGUUCAUAACAAUUUCAAAAAAAAGUAUAAGGUAUAAGACAUAUAUGCAACUCCAAACUUGUAACAUCCCGUUUUUUGAACAUUUAAAAAUACGAAUAUUUUAAAUUUUUUCUUUAAAUUAAACAUAUUCUCUUUCCUCAAUAAUUCAAAACCAUUUUACAAAUAAAAUCUGCAUAAAAUACUGGCACGUGUGUUGCAUUUGAUUGCUCUAACUUCCUCUCUUUCUCAACCAUAAGAAUAUUUUCUUCCUUUAAAAACCUCAAAAUAUUAUUUAAAUCUUAUUCAAAUAUUAAUUUCCAAUUCAAAUCCACGAACCUAUCUAUAACAAACCCUCUUGCCACCAAUUUCUUAAGAUCUCCUAAACCCUAGGAAUGAAAUUCCCAUAAUAAUCCUUUUCUGAGAAUCAUGAAAUUAAUAUUCUAUUUGAAUUUGAACAUUAAUUCCACAUCCAACCUUUUUAAGGGGUCACUAUUCAAUCUUAGACACAUUCAAGCACCUUAACUCCCAAAUCCUCCCAAAAUAUUCCAUUUUUAUAUCCAACUCAAGCUCACACCUCAAACUUCCUUCAAAUUUGAAACCCUUCCCAAACAAAUCAAAAACCUUUUUCAGCAUUCACAGGCUGCAAACCUCCCUUCUGGCCCGUUUCUUCCUUUCGGCCCAGCUUGUCCCACCUUCCUCUCCUGCCAGCCCAGCCUCCUCUCCCUCUCCUAGCCUAGCUCCUCCUUGGCCUGGCCCAUUCUACCACCUACGGCCUGCUCCCUCUCCAGUCCAGUUUGCACACCAACCGGCCUACGUGGCCCAGCUUGGCUCGCUCAGACAGCACUGCCGCCGCCGGCACCCUUUCCCCCCACGACUCGCGCAGGCUGGAUUCGGACUCUAGGACAAUACCAACUUGUGAUGGUCACCACGGUUGCAUACAGACUUGGAUUGGGACAUUCAAGUACUUCAU